CGGGUGAGUAACGCGUAAANAACUUGCCCUUUAGACUGGGAUAACAGAGGGAAACUUCUGAUAAUACUGGAUAAGUUAGUAUAUCGCAUGAUAUGCAAAUGAAAGCUACGGCACUAAAGGAGAGCUUUGCGUCCUAUUAGCUAGUUGGUAAGGUAAGAGCUUACCAAGGCGACGAUCAGUAGCCGGCUUGAGAGAGUGUACGGCCACAUUGGGACUGAGACACGGCCCAGACUCCUACGGGAGGCAGCAGCC
rnacentral:rRNA from 1 species